rnacentral:rRNA from 1 species
AGAGUUUGAUCCUGGCUCAGAAUCAACGCUGGCGGCGCGCUUAACACAUGCAAGUCGCACGAGAAAGGGAGCAAUCCUAAGUAAAGUGGCGCACGGGUGAGUAACACGUGGAUCAUCUACCUUUUAGUGGGGAAUACCUCUGGGAAACCGGAGACAAUACCGCAUAAGCCUGUAAAGGGAAAGCAGCAAUGCGCUGAAAGAGGAGUCCGCGGCCGAUUAGCUAGUUGGCGGGGUAACGGCCCACCAAGGCGAAGAUCGGUAGCCGGCCUGAGAGGGCACACGGCCACACUGGCACUGAAACACGGGCCAGACUCCUACGGGAGGCAGCAGUGGGGAAUCUUGCACAAUGGGCGAAAGCCUGAUGCAGCGACGCCGCGUGAGCGAUGAAGCCCUUCGGGGUGUAAAGCUCUUUCGACGGGAACGAUAAUGAC